rnacentral:rRNA from 1 species
AGCGAACGCUGGCGGCAGGCUUAACACAUGCAAGUCGAGCGGGCGUAGCAAUACGUCAGCGGCAGACGGGUGAGUAACGCGUGGGAACGUACCUUUUGGUUCGGAACAACACAGGGAAACUUGUGCUAAUACCGGAUAAGCCCUUACGGGGAAAGAUUUAUCGCCGAAAGAUCGGCCCGCGUCUGAUUAGCUAGUUGGUAGGGUAACGGCCUACCAAGGCGACGAUCAGUAGCUGGUCUGAGAGGAUGAUCAGCCACAUUGGGACUGAGACACGGCCCAAACUCCUACGGGAGGCAGCAGUGGGGAAUAUUGGACAAUGGGGGCAGCCCUGAUCCAGCCAUGCCGCGUGAGUGAUGAAGGCCCUAGGGUUGUAAAGCUCUUUUGUGCGGGAAGAUAAUGACGGUACCGCAAGAAUAAGCCCCGGCUAACUUCGUGCCAGCAGCCGCCGUAA